rnacentral:rRNA from 1 species
GACGAACGCUGGCGGCGCGCUUAACACAUGCAAGUCGAACGGAAAGGCCUGCUUUCCCUUGUGGAUUGCGGGUACUCGAGUGGCGAACGGGUGAGUAACACGUGAGUGAUCUGCCCCCAACUUGGGUAUAAGCCUGGGAAACUGGGUCUAAUUCCCGAUAGGACUGCAGGGUGGUGCCUGUGGUGGAAAACGAUUUUCUAGUGGUUGGGGAUGAGCUCGCGGCCUAUCAGCUUGUUGGUGGGGUAUGGCCUACCAAGGCGGCGACGGGUAGCCGGCCUGAGAGGGUGGACGGCCACAUUGGGACUGAGAUACGGCCCAGACUCCUACGGGAGGCAGCAGUGGGGAAUAUUGCACAAUGGGCGGAAGCCUGAUGCAGCGACGCCGCGUGGGGGAUGACGGCCUUCGGGUUGUAAACUCCUUUCGACCGCGAGGAAGCCACCUGGUUGGAAGGGUGGUGACGGUAGUGGUAGAAGAAGCACCGGCUAACUACGUG